CUCUCCUUCUGAUGAUCUAAGAACUUCACUUAAUUGACAAGUAAAAUAUACAACUUCAUCAUCUCUGUUUACCAAUUUCCCUACUUGGUAGCAGUCAACAAUAAGAAAUGAAAAAUUAUGCUUCUGUGAAACAGUUCAUUCUUCUGGGAUUAACAGAUGACCCAAAGCUAAAUGUUUUGAUUUUUAUAUUUCUAUUUUUUACAUAUAUACUGAGUAUAACUGGGAACCUGACAAUUAUUACUCUCACUUUGAUAGAUGUGCACCUCAAAACACCCAUGUACUUUUUCCUUAGGAAUUUCUCUUUUCUAGAAAUCUCAUUCACAACAGUUUGUAUUCCUAGGUUUCUGGUCAGCAUCGUAACAGGGGAUAAGACCAUUUCUUAUAAUUCUUGCAUGGCCCAGGUAUUUUUCUUUAUACUCCUUGGUUCAACAGAAUUUUUCCUUUUGACUGCUAUGUCCUAUGAUUGUUAUGUUGCUAUCUGUAAGCCACUGCACUACACAACAAUAAUGAACAGCAGAGUCUGCAUCCAGCUUGUAAUUAGCUCUUGGCUAGCUGGAUUUCUCAUUAUCUUUCCACCUGUAAUUAUGGGGCUUCAACUGGAUUUCUGUGACUCCAACAUCAUUGAUCACUUUACCUGUGAUUCCUCUCCUAUGCUACUGAUCUCCUGCACAGACACAGCGUUUCUAGAGUUCAUGGGAUUUUUCCUGGCCAUAUUCACUCUCAUGGUAACCUUAACAUUAGUGAUUCUUUCCUAUGUAUUCAUCCUUAAGACAAUCCUGAGAAUUCCUUCUGCUGAACAAAGGAAAAAGGCCUUUUCCACUUGUUCUUCACACAUGAUUGUUGUCUCCAUUUCUUAUGGAAGCUGCAUUUUCAUGUAUGUCAAAACAUCAGCAAAAGAAGGAGUGGCUUUGACCAAGGGUAUAGCAGUGCUCAAUACCUCUGUAGCCCCAGUGUUAAAUCCUUUUACUUACUCCCUAAGGAACCAGUAGGUAAAACAGUCUUUUCAGAACUUGAUCAAAAAAUGUUUUUCAAAUAAAUUUUAGUCACAAAGAAAUGUAUAGCCUGAACUUGAAAUGGAAACUUAUCUGUAGCAUAAUACUGACAUCGUUCUAUAUCUCCAUCCAAUACCAUUAAUAUAUUCAACUAUUUUUCCUUCAGGAUUUAUUCUUCUAUCCCAUUUUGACCUCACUUGGCUUCAUAACCCAUUUAUAUUUACAUGCUGUGAACAUUUAGGUGUUGUUUUAUUUGUUUUUUUGUUUGUUUGUUUUUUGUUGUUUGUUUUUUGAGAUGGAGUCUCACACUAUUGCAUGGGCUGGAGUGCAAUGGUGCCAACUCGGCUCACUGCAACCUCUGCCUCUUGGGUUCAAGUGAUUCUCCUGCCUCAGCCUCCUGAGGAGCUGGGAUUACAGGCUCCUGCCACCACGCCCAGCUAAUUUUUUGUAUUUUUAGUGGAGACAGGGUUUCACUAUGUUGGCCAGGCUGCAGAAUUUAGCUUUAAACAAUCAUUGAAAGACUUUCCCUUUGAUCCUAAGAAAAAAAUUUUUUUAAAAAGUUACCAUCAAGCAAUUCUGAAAAAUUAUUUAUCCCAGUGCAUUAGCACAAUGUACUAAAAUAAAUUCUUCUGUGAGAUGAAGUCUCCUACCUCUAGUAUAUUUAUAUUUCUCCUUUUAUCUCCCUUGGUUUUUGCAUUGUAAAUAGUAUAUUUAUAUUUCUCCUUUUAUCUCCCUUGGUUUUUGCAUUGUAAAUGUUUACAUAUGCUAUUUGGUACAUUGGCAUUCUAUAUCUUCAAUGUGAAUUCCAUUAUUUAAUAGUAUAAAAUAUCUUGCUUAAUGUCUUUUCUUGGCUCAAAUUCCAAAAUUACCUCAAGUCCGGUUCUGAUAUUUCUGUUAGGCCCCAGUACUCUCACCACAAAUCACCCUUAAUGAACUACACUGAUGAUAGCCCAUUUCUUUCUGUUAAUUUGCUGUUGCUGGGUCUGGAGUUUACCUGCAGCUCCUUUGAAAAGAAUCUGGCUUGCCUUUCUCUCUUUUGAUUUUACUAGCCCUUUAAACCCCUGUGCUUUCUAUCUCCCAAGUGGUUCUUAAAAUUUCUAGUAUACUAAUGAUACCCUCGAUUCUAUUUAUAUGGUUACAUUCUUUUAAAAAAGUUUUCAUUUUUUUAUGGACAAUGGAGAGUAUGGGAUUAAGUAUGUUUACACUGCCUGCGCCUUGAUAUAAACUUUUCCUAUAAGAGGUUCUUACUUAUACACUUGUAAGAAUAAAAAUUUGUUUAGUAUUUAUCAAUUUGCUUUUUUCCUGUCUUCUUCCACAAGCAAUGCAUGAACACAUGAAAUCAUUUAAGUUACUAUUGGAUCACUUUUCCUUAAUAUGUAUUCAAAUUCCUAGUUUUGGGGUUCUCUUUUCUCCCCCAUUUAAAAAAUGAGUUAUUCAAACAAGUAUUUGUAGAAAAAAGGUUACACGUAAUCAAAAGCAGGUGAAUGAAAACUAACACAUUCAAUCUGAGAGACAGUAUGAAUGUCUAAAUGUCUAAAAUAGCCAUAUGAUAUUUGCAUCUGUGAAUCUGAGCAAAAUGAUUUACUACAUCUGCUUAUAGGAAGUGUUUUGUUAAAUUGAUAAUAAGUUUAGUUAGAAUUGGUAAGAAUACUGGACUCCUUUAGGCAUCAUAGAGCUAAAUAUUCCAGCUAAUCAAAAAUUACGUUUUUAUUUCUCUUUGCUUUACAAAACUUUUUAUUUUUCUGGUAGUUGCUUAGCAGAUUCUAUGCAAAUCUGAAUUUAAUUUGCAUCUAUUGAUGUGGAUAUGGCUCAAGCAAUGUGAUGCUCAAUAAAGGCCAGAUCCUUCAGUUCAUGUGGGCAGAGAGAAAGGAUAUGCUGCAUAAUGUUUAACAACUAGUCCUCCAAAAAAUAGAAACCUGAUGUAAUUAUAAAUUUUAGUGUCAAUUCUAUAUACCCAGUUGAUUUUCAUGCAAUAUUUCAUUGACUUUUACCAAACUUAUGUUCAUAAGCAAUUUAUUUUUGCAACUCAACCACAGUUUGACAAAUGGAAUUGUAUUUCAAUCUGUGAACUCUUUUUCUAUAAGUUUAGUCAUUAAAUCUGAGAAUUAAUGAGUUUUGAAUUAUUAUAUUAAUUUUAAUUUCUUUAAUUACAAGUUUUUAUAAUUUAUGUUAGAAUUAUGUAUGACCUUUUAAAAUAACUGCUUGCCGAGAGUCCUAAAAACUAAAUGUUAUGGGAUCUUUAGAGUGUCACUUUUCUGGCUGGAAACCUCUGUGGCUGGUGGCACUUUUGCCUGAGUUCUUGCCCCACGUCCAGGAAGAAUGAGGUACGCAUACAAGUGGAGGGUGAACAAGAUGAAGAGAAGCUUUACUGAGUGACAGAACAGCUCAGAGGAGACCAGCAGCAGGCAGCUCCUCUCUGCAGACAGGUUGUCUCAUCCAGAGUUCAGCUCUCAGCAGAGAGGAGGCCCUGAAUUGGGUGGCUCCUCUCUGCACUCAGGUUGUCUAGUGGUCUCUGCAGCUCUCAGCAGAGUGAGUAGCUCCUCUCUUCAGCUGGUCCUCUAGUCAUCUCCAGCUAUCAGCAGAGAGGGUAGUUCCUCACUUCAACCAGUCCUCUGGCCAUCCUCUCCAUCCUCUGCCUCAUUCUGGCUGAGCCCAGGGCUUUUAUGGAACCCAGAGGAGAGGAAGUACAUGCAGAUUGGUCCAUGGGCAGCCAUCAGCAGCAGAAAAGUCACCACAAGUUCCCACUCCAGUCUGCGGUCUACAGGACUGGCAGCCCAGUGCCCAGCCUUCAGGCCAUCCCUGGACUGAAGGUGGGGCCUUACAGGGGCACCACUCCCUUCCUCCCAGGAGCCUGCCUGCCUACAGUAGCUAUCCAUGGCACCCAGGCUGCUGGCACCAAGGGGCACCUGCAAGCCAGCACCCAGCCACCCUCACCACCCUCUCAGCUUCUCCUCCUGUGCUCCUCUGCACCCAAAGUCCAGAGGGGGCCCAGUCCACUGGGGACUGGCAUGUCAGCCGUGCCCCAAGCGUGAGCACACCCGGCCAGACAGUGACAGUGCCUAGGUUGGCCCCAACACCACUCCGAGAUCUGAGCGGGCAUCGGGAGUGGGGAGAGGACAGCCAGCAGGAGCAGGCACCUCCGAGCCUGCAAAGGCAAAGGGAGCCUUCCCAGGUCAACCAAGAAUGCAGGGUUUGCUGGGCCUGCAGCCCGGGUUUGGGCGGCUACAGCCGUGCUGAGGGACCGGGCGCCUGCCUGCUCCAUGGAGCCAGAGUCCCAGGUCUACAGCCCGGGAUUAGGCGGGCACCCGGGAAGCUCCUGCCCCAACUCGGAAUGGACUGGGCUCUCACUUGUCCCGGACUCCCGCCGGCUCCACUGAGCGUGCACCUCCCUGUGGCACCUCCCUGCUGCAGCCGGCUUGAGGACAACAGCUGCUGCCAUCAUAAGCACUGUGGCAUUAUCCCGUAUACUCAAAAUUCAGAAUAAAAAGGGCUAUAUUAGAUCAUCGACCAAAAAGUGUACCCAUUCUACACCUCAAUUUAUUUUUUGUUCACUAUACACAUUAAACCAAUUUUCCAUCUUUCUUUAUGUCAUGCUACUACUAAAUGUACACUUUAAAGUAGUAUUUUGAUCUGCA
ensembl:lncRNA novel transcript